rnacentral:rRNA from 1 species
AUGAUCGUUGAGUACAUGUUACUAUUCCCAAGAGGAACUGUUCAAGCUCACCUUGUUAAUAGCUUCCACACCCCUCAAGGAGCUCAUGUAGCAAAGUUGCAGGUUGCAACUAUAUUCAAAAUUUUCCUAGGUAGUUUUUCUUGGACUAUAUUCUCAUGGCUCUAUACAGCAGGCAAUGACUGUGGAUUUUCUAACUUCCCAUUGUUUGGACUAGAACUAUACAAGCACAGAUUCAAAUUUGAUUUCUCCCCCACAUUUGUUGGUGUUGGAAUGAUUUGUCCACAUGUGGUAAAUUUUGCGUUACUCUUUGGAGGAAUCAUAUCUUGGGGAUUGCUAUACCCUUUUCUUGAAUCAAAACAUGGGCAAUGGUAUCACACUGAUAAUGCUUCAAGUCUUACGGGGAUGAAUGGAUACAAGGUCUUCAUUUGCAUAACAAUUAUCAUCACAGAUGGAAUAUUCAACUUCCUUGCAGUCAUUAUUGCAUCUUGUAUUGACAUUAAGCACAAGCGGCAAGAUAUUGAUUCAGGGUUGAGUAAUUACAUAAAAAAACACCCUAGCCUUAACUACGAUGAUCGUAAGAGGAUUGAGGUAUUUCUUCAAAAUAAAAUCCCUUUAACCAUAGCAGUUGGAGGAUACAUUGCAAGUGCUACAAUCUCAGUAGUUGUUAUCCCAUGGUUGUUCGAUCAGAUUAAAUUCUAUCAUGUUGCCACAUUAUAUAUUGUCACGCCGGUCAUUGCGUUUGCAAACACUUAUGCAAAUGGACUUACAGAUUGGUCAGUUGGAUAUACUUAUGGCAAGUUUACAAUAUUUGUUGUUGCGGCAUGGAUUGUGAAACCGGGUGCAAUUGUUGCUGGCCUUGUAGCUUGUGGGAUAAUGAUAGCAGCUCUGCACAUUUCUUCACAAGCUACACAAGACAUCAAGACAGGUUUCAUGACACUAACCUCGGAAAGAGCUAUGGUAAUUGGGCAAAUUGUUGGUGUAGUUAUUGGCUCUAUUGUUAGCCCAUGUAUAUUUCUUGCCUUUCAAAAAGGUGAAAAGCCUGGAGUUACUAUUGGAUCUGCUCAAUCACAUUACCCAUGUCCUUUUGCUGGACUCUUUCGUGCCAUCGGUGUGAUUGGCAUUGGAGGAGUGAAGGAGCUCCCUAAGUAUUGCCUUACAAUGUGCUUUGCUGCAUUUUGCAUAAUAAUUGUCACAGAUGUACUUUCAUUGGUAUCUAGUGGAAAAGGCUGGAGAAUGCACAAGUAUCUUCCUAAUAUGACAGUGGUAGCACUACCAUUCUUUGCAGGGCCCGAUUUCCCCAUAGAUAUGUGCCUAGGUACUGCGGUAAUGUAUCUAUGGACUAAAAUGAAUAAAAGAAGUGCAACUUUGCUGUCAUCGGCAGUUGCAGCAGGCCUUAUAUGUGGAGAGGGACUAUUUGCAUUGCCAUCAGUAGUACUUACUACAUUCAGUAUACAACCACCAAUGUGCAUGAAGUUCUUUCAUAGUGGAAAAGAAGUUGAUGUGGUUGAUUCAUUCUUAAAUAAGUUGGAAACACCCACAAAGACAUGA